rnacentral:rRNA from 1 species
ACGGGUGAGUAAUGUCUGGGGAUCUGCCCGAUAGAGGGGGAUAACCACUGGAAACGGUGGCUAAUACCGCAUAACGUCGCAAGACCAAAGAGGGGGACCUUCGGGCCUCUCACUAUCGGAUGAACCCAGAUGGGAUUAGCUAGUAGGCGGGGUAACGGCCCACCUAGGCGACGAUCCCUAGCUGGUCUGAGAGGAUGACCAGCCACACUGGAACUGAGACACGGUCCAGACUCCUACGGGAGGCAGCAGUGGGGAAUAUUGCACAAUGGGCGCAAGCCUGAUGCAGCCAUGCCGCGUGUAUGAAGAAGGCCUUCGGGUUGUAAAGUACUUUCAGCGGGGAGGAAGGCAAUAAGGUUAAUAACCUUGUUGAUUGACGUUACCCGCAGAAGAAGCACCGGCUAACUCCGUGCCAGCAGCCGCGGUAAUACGGAGGGUGCAAGCGUUAAUCGGAAUUACUGGGCGUAAAGCGCACGCAGGCGGUCUGUUAAGUCAGAUGUGAAAUCCCCGGGCUUAACCUGGGAACUGCAUUUGAAACUGGCAGGCUUGAGUCUCGUAGAGGGGGGUAGAAUUCCAGGUGUAGC